CACAAGUUUUCCUUUGCUGUCGACAAAGGGCAAGACAUUUACAGUUGGAGUAAAAUUCUUGUCCCUCAAUUUUUCAUUCAUUUAAAAUAUACGGAAAUAAUUUUUUUUAAAAUAUGCCUUUCACAAUAGACAUUAAGGAAAUCCCCAACCUCUGACAGUCUUAAAUAGGACUUUUUUUCUUUUUGCUGACAUAAACAUCAGUUCUUAAUGUGGAUUCAAGCAUUUGACUAAUUUAAAAUUUAUUUUUAAACUGCUGUGAGGUUUAUAUUUGAAAACAUCUGCUGAGCUGCUGGCCCUGUAGCUACCUUUAGCAAUGUUUUAUUAUGUUGACUAAGCUUAUAAUGGUGAUUCUCUGCUCUACCGCUGACAUCUUAAUUGCUGCCUCACCAAUACUGAUGUUGUAGGAGGUAUGUGGGACUGACUUUUACAUCUAUAAUGAUAUGGUAAUGUGAAUCAUUACACUGUCAGUGGUGGUUUAUUGGCAUUAUGGUUUAAGAUUAUGAGCGUAUUACAGUGUCAGUGCAAACAAAUACUGCCGCUUUUAAAGUAAGCAGAUGAAAGACAGAAAAGUGCUAAAAUAGUUAUAAUAUUAAAUUCACAAUAGCAAGAUAGUGUUUGCUUAAGGCAGCCCCUGCCCUAAAUUCAUAUGUUAUCUGCAUAAUUCAGCAAUGCAUACUGUGCAGUCAUCUCCUGGAGAUUCCACAGCAUCAGGCAGAAAUAACAAAUGACCUAGGGUAAAUAUGUUGGCCCAUUUCACCCUAAUUUUAGACCCUAUCAAUUGGAAGAUCAGAGCCUGCAGUCAGAAACUGUCUGGUACUGGGGAGAAUGCCUCUGAUUUUCCAAAGCCAACAGUGUAUAAAACAAAAUUGUCUUUUUUUGUUGUUGUUGUUCUUCACUUUUCAGUUCCGAAAGGAGGAUGGGUAGAAGCAGAAAUAGGAAACAGCAGAAAUCAGACAACACCAUCUGACAAGAACUUUUGUAGAUGUAAACAUCAGAUCUGUGAACAUGAACUCUGUGUCCUCGUAUCUCCAGUGGAAGGUGUUGUGGAAAAUGAGAGCUGA
rnacentral:lncRNA from 13 species